GAAAUUGAACAUGUGUUCCUAAUAAUCCUUUAGGUGAGUGUAUAUAUGGAAUACACAUCCAGAAGUUUAGGAGUUUAGGGUUUACAGGCAUGGAAACGAGAAUAACAGGUUAAUCUGCAUAUAGUUAGAAAGAGGAAAUAACAGGGUUAUUCAUUCAGUGAUGAAUAGGCUAAAAUACCUAGGACCCUGCUUUACUCCUUUUAGAGGCUAGAUGAAUCAUCCCACAUAGAUCCCCAUCAUGGAAGUUACAGCAGGAAAAACUGCACAUCCCAAACUGUGCAGACCAAUGCGGACAGGCUUUCUGCACGCAUCAUCAGCAGGCCAGGCCCCAAGCAGUCAAUGGUAACAAGAGCUGCACUACUGCCUAUGAGGGUAGUGGGGGCCUGGAGUCUAUCCCGGAGGCUACGAGUUCAAAGCAGGAAAUAAACCCGGAUGGGGCAUCAACCCAACGCAGGGCAAUAAAUAGUUUCGGAAAUAUAAUAUGAAUUUGGUAAUGUUUCGUUUUGUAAUAUUUUAUACAGGUUGCACUGGCUCUGAG